AUCAUCAUCAUAAUCAAUUAUUUUAAGAGAGAUACAGCACAGGAUAAGUGUACCAGGAGGCCGCACCUGGGUACUGUGUCGCAAAACCACCCUCACAGAGGCAAUUGCCCUUUCAUCAUGAUUACACCUUGAAAAUUCUGAGGAAAAUAACAUUUUUAUCUCUUUCACUUUACAAAAUCUCUGGGGACAUCUUCAAUAAAACAUCAAGCCACCAGGUUCCAGAUGCUACCAGGAUGCCAACCGGACUUUCCUGGGAAGACGACCCCACCAAUGUGUCCCGGAGCCCCUCCUCCCCAGACCCCUCCUCCCCUAGGGGAGUAUGGAUCAACCUGUCAACACUCAUGUU